AUGAUGCAGUGGCCCCAGGGACCCAGAAACCCGACCAUCUCUAUACGACCAGAUGUUGCAAAGAUCUUCCAUACAGUGCCCACUACCCAGGAUGGUCUUCCCAUCUUGAUGACACCAGCCUGUCCUCGACUUGCAUUCCUUAAGAGCUCAUUAAGUUUGAAGAGGCCAGACGGUGCUGUCAGUUAUCUGUGGUUUUCAGAACUGACAAUGAGUAAGUGGUGGCCAAGAUGGAUUGAGAAAGCUAAAACGUACGGAGAGGAGUGA
rnacentral:lncRNA from 1 species